rnacentral:sRNA from 1 species
UCCAAUACAUGAUAAAAGGCCCAAGUCAAGCCUAAAAAAUCCUUGAUUAUUCCAAUUAAGAUCACUAUUCGAAGUUGGA